rnacentral:rRNA from 1 species
CAGCAGCCGCGGGAAUACGGAGGGAGCUAGCGUUGUUCGGAAUUACUGGGCGUAAAGCGCGCGUAGGCGGUUACUCAAGUCAGAGGUGAAAGCCCGGGGCUCAACCCCGGAACUGCCUUUGAAACUAGGUGACUAGAAUCUUGGAGAGGUCAGUGGAAUUCCGAGUGUAGAGGUGAAAUUCGUAGAUAUUCGGAAGAACACCAGUGGCGAAGGCGACUGACUGGACAAGUAUUGACGCUGAGGUGCGAAAGCGUGGGGAGCAAACAGGAUUAGAUACCCGCGUAGUCCCUGUCUCUUAUAC